rnacentral:piRNA from 1 species
UUUGGAGCAGAUCUAAAAUCU